rnacentral:misc_RNA from 1 species
UCCGAUCGAGAGUACGGCGGCGACGGCCAGAAGUUGUUUACGCAUGUGUUUUCCUUUCAGUUGAUCAACCUUCGGAAUGAAGGCUCUACGCUCCCCAGCGAUUCAAUUACUUAACGAUCACCGUGCCGAGCAUGCCGGACUCGCGAUGUCCGGGAAUCAGGCACGCAAAUUCGAACUGACCUGGCUUGCUGAACUUCCAGACA